rnacentral:rRNA from 1 species
UACGAAGGGGGCUAGCGUUGUUCGGAUUUACUGGGCGUAAAGCGCACGUAGGCGGAUCGUUAAGUCAGGGGUGAAAUGCCAGGGCUCAACCUUGGAACUGCCUUUGAUACUGGAGACCUUGAGUCCGGGAGAGGUGAGUGGAAUUGCGAGUGUAGAGGUGAAAUUCGUAGAUAUUCGCAAGAACACCAGUGGCGAAGGCGGCUCACUGGCCCGGAACUGACGCUGAGACGCGAAAGCGUGGGGAGCAAACAGG